GGCUGGGCUGAAAGUAGUGAGUUAUCACAAUUGAUAGUUCACAAUCAGUUACAGUUUGAACUCCUUGUUCUACACUUCCCCCCUUCUCACUACUGCACUUGACUAGUAUUUU
rnacentral:Y_RNA from 1 species